CCGAAUGGGGAAACCCAGUGUGACUCGUCACACUAUCAUUAACUGAAUCCAUAGGUUAAUGAGGCGAACCGGGGGAACUGAAACAUCUAAGUACCCCGAGGAAAAGAAAUCAACCGAGAUUCCCCCAGUAGCGGCGAGCGAACGGGGAGGAGCCCAGAGCCUGAAUCAGCAUGUGUGUUAGUGGAAGCGUCUGGAAAGGCGCGCGAUACAGGGUGACAGCCCCGUACACAAAAGCGCAUGUGCUGUGAGCUCGAUGAGUAGGGCGGGACACGUGGUAUCCUGUCUGAAUAUGGGGGGACCAUCCUCCAAGGCUAAAUACUCCUGACUGACCGAUAGUGAACCAGUACCGUGAGGGAAAGGCGAAAAGAACCCCGGCGAGGGGAGUGAAAAAGAACCUGAAACCGUGUACGUACAAGCAGUGGGAGCACAGGUUUACCUGUGUGACUGCGUACCUUUUGUAUAAUGGGUCAGCGACUUAUAUUCUGUAGCAAGGUUAACCGAAUAGGGGAGCCGGAGGGAAACCGAGUCUUAA
rnacentral:rRNA from 1 species